GACGAACGCUGGCGGCGUGCUUAACACAUGCAAGUCGAACGGAAAGGCCCUGCUUUUGUGGGGUGCUCGAGUGGCGAACGGGUGAGUAACACGUGAGUAACCUGCCCUUGACUUUGGGAUAACUUCAGGAAACUGGGGCUAAUACCGGAUAGGAGCUCCUGCUGCAUGGUGGGGGUUGGAAAGUUUCGGCGGUUGGGGAUGGACUCGCGGCUUAUCAGCUUGUUGGUGGGGUAGUGGCUUACCAAGGCUUUGACGGGUAGCCGGCCUGAGAGGGUGACCGGCCACAUUGGGACUGAGAUACGGCCCAGACUCCUACGGGAGGCAGCAGUGGGGAAUAUUGCACAAUGGGCGGAAGCCUGAUGCAGCAACGCCGCGUGCGGGAUGACGGCCUUCGGGUUGUAAACCGCUUUCGCCUGUGACGAAGCGUGAGUGACGGUAAUGGGUAAAGAAGCACCGGCUAACUACGUGCCAGCAGCCGCGGUGAUACGUAGGGUGCGAGCGUUGUCCGGAUUUAUUGGGCGUAAAGGGCUCGUAGGUGGUUGAUCGCGUCGGAAGUGUAAUCUUGGGGCUUAACCCUGAGCGUGCUUUCGAUACGGGUUGACUUGAGGAAGGUAGGGGAGAAUGGAAUUCCUGGUGGAGCGGUGGAAUGCGCAGAUAUCAGGAGGAACACCAGUGGCGAAGGCGGUUCUCUGGGCCUUUCCUGACGCUGAGGAGCGAAAGCGUGGGGAGCGAACAGGCUUAGAUACCCUGGUAGUCCACGCUGUAAACGGUGGGUACUAGGUGUGGGGUCCAUUCCACGGGUUCCGUGCCGUAGCUAACGCUUUAAGUACCCCGCCUGGGGAGUACGGCCGCAAGGCUAAAACUCAAAGGAAUUGACGGGGCCCCGCACAAGCGGCGGAGCAUGCGGAUUAAUUCGAUGCAACGCGUAGAACCUUACCUGGGUUUGACAUGGAUCGGGAGCGCUCAGAGAUGGGUGUGCCUCUUUUGGGGUCGGUUCACAGGUGGUGCAUGGCUGUCGUCAGCUCGUGUCGUGAGAUGUUGGGUUAAGUCCCGCAACGAGCGCAACCCUUGUUCACUGUUGCCAGCACGUUAUGGUGGGGACUCAGUGGAGACCGCCGGGGCCAACUCGGAGGAAGGUGGGGAUGACGUCAAGUCAUCAUGCCCCUUAUGUCCAGGGCUUCACGCAUGCUACAAUGGCUGGUACAGAGAGUGGCGAGCCUGUGAGGGUGAGCGAAUCUCGGAAAGCCGGUCUCAGUUCGGAUUGGGGUCUGCAACUCGACCUCAUGAAGUCGGAGUCGCUAGUAAUCGCAGAUCAGCAACGCUGCGGUGAAUACGUUCCCGGGGCU
rnacentral:rRNA from 1 species